GAGGCAAAGCACGAGUGGGGUGAGGGAGAGGGAGAAACAUACUCCCACUGAGCAGUGAGUUGGACCCAGGGCUUCAUCCCAGGACCCAAGGAUUGUAAACUGAGCAAAAGAAAGACGCUUAACUGACUGAGCCACCUAGGUGCCCCUUAAAAAUGUUUUUUAACUUUUUUUUAACGUAAUCUCCACCCCAACAUGGUGCUUAAAGUUAGGAACCUGAUCAAGAGUCACACGCUCUAUUGACUGAGCCAGUCAUGCACCCCUAACGAGGUUACUUUUGAUAGAGAUGACCUGAAAUAUUUUAAGCAUCCCUAUGGUCUAAAUAUCCACCAGUGUUUUUCUGUUCAAUGCAAUCAGGGAAUCACCACCUCCAGGAAAUUCUCAUUGAUGGGUUCAUAGAAUUUCUCCUUAAGUGUCAGCAAUUUCCUUGGCAUCAUUUCUGCAUUUUUUCUUAUUUUAAAAUUGCUAGUGUAUAAGGAAUCAUCAUCUUUCAUUUGUCUUGUAAAAUACUGGGUGUUGGUUUCUGUAAAUUUUUACAUAUUUGUUUUGUUUCUUGUUGGAACAUAAGGAUAUUGUGUACAUGUGGUCAUUUUGUCACUUUUGGAUGACAGUGGUAUUUAUUGUUUGAAUAUUAUGCCAUAUUGUGUGGACACAAAAAUCCAAAGGAUUUGAAAUCAAUCAAAUCAGUGGCUCCUGCCUUUUGAAGAGAGAGAGCGGAAUUUGUUGCUUGUACUAGCAGAACACCGAACAGAAGCAACCAGCUCAUUGUAAAGUUCAGGGUUUACUUCCUGCAAGAAGUAUCUGAAAUCCAGAAAAUUCUCAGGAGACCUCUUCAAAGUGAUUUCAAGAGAAAAGUAUCCAGUCAAUGAGGCUACAAAGCCAUGCUCAGAUGUCCAGCUGGUUGAUUUAUGAAAAAGACAACUGGUUACCGUUUGGUAUUGUAUAAAAUAAUAGACACUGUUAUCUAAACUCUCUCCAAAAUUAUACCACAUGAGAAUUUAAAAUACACAGGAAUGACUGUGAUUGUCAAAACCAAAGCUAUCACCUCUAUUUCCUUCUGCCCCAAUCACUGAGGCCACGAGGGAGCUAACUGUUCCAACCCUAGGCCAGGGUGUCAUCUCCCUUGUGCUCUGAGAAGCACCUGUUACAGAUAUUGAAUAGUGGCAAUUAAAUGGUUUCUUUAGGACAUCCACACUGUGUAAAAUUCCUAAUCUGUUUCCUGAGGGGACAUUUCUUUUGUGGCAGGGACCAGUCAGCUUUGAUCAGAAUUUCCCCCUUAAAACCAUGACAUAAUGGGCUUAGAAAGGAAAUUAGCUCAGGCAUCUCUCGCUGGAUGGUGAGGAAUUUUACCUCAGGAAGGUGCACAGCUCUGAGGUAAGUUAGUCUCUCUGCAGAGAAGAUACUCCAAUGGAAUGGACAGAGAAAUGCACUCUUAUGAGAAGUCCUUGGAGUUGAGGCCUGAGUAAUCCUGACCCCAGUUCCCUUCCACCAGAUGAACAAGUAGUCGAAAACUAAAUCACGAUUUUCUUUAGGUUGGUCUCAAUGCUGACUGAGCUCUCUAUCCUUCCUGCAAUAGUUUUGAUAUAAAGAUCAUGAGAAACCAACCCUUGGUCUGUGCCAUUGUGCUCAUCAAGAUUUCCCUCAGGGGUUGGUUUUAUUUGACCUCUAACAUUAUCUUGGUGCUGAGCCAAGAACUGUCACACAGGAACCCUGUGACAAGGCUGGGGAAGGGGAGAAGCUACCUGGUCUUGAGAGGUGAGUCCAAGCCACCUGGCAUGGUAUGUGACUUAUUCCAUUCCUGAGGAAGACGGAAAAAAGUCAAAUGAACGCUAAUGGAUUGAAGAGGAAUCUAGGGACUUGGUAGUGACUGGAGGGGAAGAAGGAGGGAGGAGAAGGAUCACAACAGGGAUUCCAGCUCUCACAGAGCUGCCUUCCCUGGUGCUUGGGUUGCACCAUGUGUGGGCACCAGGGGGCACCAUGGGCAUGGAUUUGGGGAAGGUCAUGAGUGUGCUUUACCCUGACCUGCAGAAUUCCCAAGAGCUGAUUCCUCCUGAGUGCUGCAGAAGAGGACCACGUGUAAGGGGUGAUCCAAAUCUAUUCUGUCUCAAUAAGUUCUUACUUGAAAGUCAAACAAACACCUCCAGUCAUCAGACUCAGAGCCCUGUGAAGAAGGGAACCAAAAGAGGCAUGAGAACCCAUGCUAGUGAGGAGGAGAGGAAGGCUGUGAGACAUGUGAACAACUCCAGCUGUUUUUGGUGCCUACAAAAGAAAGAGUGAAUCUCUCCUAACUCCAGCCCUUCAUGACCCUUUUCUCAUCCCUGAUCCACACGGCACAAAGGGCCGUGGGCUCAGUCUAACCUAACUCAGCCUUUCUUGUUCUCCAAGACUCUGGGAAAGACUGUCAGUAGCUCCUGUGCUGGAAGCAGCAUGAUACUGGGGAGUGAUAAUGAAAUCUCCUGGUACCAACAGCACCCAGAAAUGGCUUUGAAACUGCUGGUUUGCUACACCAAUACAGGGCCCUCAGGGAUCCCUGAUUGCUUUUCUGGCUCCAAGUCUGGCAACACGGUCUCCCUGAUCAUCUCCAGAUGCAGGCUAAAGUAAGUCCCCUGCGUGAGAGGCCAAGAGACACCCCCAGGCCUCAGCGUCAGAGUCCUGCAAGGAAUGGGACUCAGAAGCAAGAGGACCCACCCUACUGAGGAGGAGAGGCACCAUCAGCACAACACAAGUGGAAAGGAAUGGGAUCAUUCUUCACCUAUAUGGGGAUUCCCACAGUAGGAACUAAGGGACAUUCCGAUUCUGGCUCCAUUUCCUGGGCAGAAACAUGAGCUCUGCCCUAGAAUACCCAUGUCAAAGUACUGGAAUCCUUCAGCUAAGUUCUGUUGCCCUGGGUUGCAGAUAUACGGAGAAUGAAGGUUCAGAUCAGAGGGGGUGAGGAGAGGCAUGUGUGGGAAGCACAUUUGCAUGGAUGCCUCUUCCUCUUCCAAGCAGGGGAAGGAAAUUAGAGGAGGGGGAAAGCCAGCCUUAAGGUUGGGGUCUCAGAAGUCAGUGCUCU